rnacentral:rRNA from 1 species
GAUGAACGCUGGCGGCGUGCCUAAUACAUGCAAGUCGAGCGAAUGGAUUAAGAGCUUGCUCUUAUGAAGUUAGCGGCGGACGGGUGAGUAACACGUGGGUAACCUGCCCAUAAGACUGGGAUAACUCCGGGAAACCGGGGCUAAUACCGGAUAACAUCUUGAACCGCAUGGUUCGGAAUUGAAAGGCGGCUUCGGCUGUCACUUAUGGAUGGACCCGCGUCGCAUUAGCUAGUUGGUGAGGUAACGGCUCACCAAGGCAACGAUGCGUAGCCGACCUGAGAGGGUGAUCGGCCACACUGGGACUGAGACACGGCCCAGACUCCUACGGGAGGCAGCAGUAGGGAAUCUUCCGCAAUGGACGAAAGUCUGACGGAGCAACGCCGCGUGAGUGAUGAAGGCUUUCGGGUCGUAAAACUCUGUUGUUAGGGAAGAACAAGUGCUAGUUGAAUAAGCUGGCACCUUGACGGUACCUAACCAGAAAGCCAGGGCUAACUACGUGCCAGCCGCCGCGGUAA